GACAGAGGGUGCAAACGUUGCUCGGAAUUACUGGGCGUAAAGCGCGUGUAGGCUGACCGGAAAGUCGGGCGUGAAAUCCCUGGGUUCAACCCAGGAACUGCACUCGAAACUCCCGGUCUUGAGUGGUGGAGAGGGAAGUGGAAUUCCUGGUGUAGAGGUGAAAUUCGUAGAUAUCAGGAGGAACACCAGUGGCGAAGGCGGCUUCCUGGACACCAACUGACGCUGAGACGCGAAAGCGUGGGGAGCAAACAGG
rnacentral:rRNA from 1 species